GCAGUCGAACGAGUUCUGAUUAUUGAAAGAGUGCUUGCAUCUUGAUUUAAUUUUGAACGAGUGGCGGACGGGUGAGUAACACGUGGGUAACCUGCCCUUAAGUGGGGGAUAACAUUUGGAAACAGAUGCUAAUACCGCAUAAAUCCAAGAACCGCAUGGUUCUUGGCUGAAAGAUGGCGUAAGCUAUCGCUUUUGGAUGGACCCGCGGCGUAUUAGCUAGUUGGUGAGGUAACGGCUCACCAAGGCAAUGAUACGUAGCCGAACUGAGAGGUUGAUCGGCCACAUUGGGACUGAGACACGGCCCAAACUCCUACGGGAGGCAGCAGUAGGGAAUCUUCCACAAUGGACGCAAGUCUGAUGGAGCAACGCCGCGUGAGUGAAGAAGGCUUUCGGGUCGUAAAACUCUGUUGUUGGAGAAGAAUGGUCGGCAGAGUAACUGUUGUCGGCGUGACGGUAUCCAACCAGAAAGCCACGGCUAACUACGUGCCAGCAGCCGCGGUAAUACGUAGGUGGCAAGCGUUAUCCGGAUUUAUUGGGCGUAAAGCGAGCGCAGGCGGUUUUUUAAGUCUGAUGUGAAAGCCCUCGGCUUAACCGAGGAAGUGCAUCGGAAACUGGGAAACUUGAGUGCAGAAGAGGACAGUGGAACUCCAUGUGUAGCGGUGAAAUGCGUAGAUAUAUGGAAGAACACCAGUGGCGAAGGCGGCUGUCUGGUCUGUAACUGACGCUGAGGCUCGAAAGCAUGGGUAGCGAACAGGAUUAGAUACCCUGGUAGUCCAUGCCGUAAACGAUGAAUGCUAGGUGUUGGAGGGUUUCCGCCCUUCAGUGCCGCAGCUAACGCAUUAAGCAUUCCGCCUGGGGAGUACGACCGCAAGGUUGAAACUCAAAGGAAUUGACGGGGGCCCGCACAAGCGGUGGAGCAUGUGGUUUAAUUCGAAGCAACGCGAAGAACCUUACCAGGUCUUGACAUCUUUUGAUCACCUGAGAGAUCAGGUUUCCCCUUCGGGGGCAAAAUGACAGGUGGUGCAUGGUUGUCGUCAGCUCGUGUCGUGAGAUGUUGGGUUAAGUCCCGCAACGAGCGCAACCCUUAUGACUAGUUGCCAGCAUUUAGUUGGGCACUCUAGUAAGACUGCCGGUGACAAACCGGAGGAAGGUGGGGAUGACGUCAAAUCAUCAUGCCCCUUAUGACCUGGGCUACACACGUGCUACAAUGGAUGGUACAACGAGUUGCGAGACCGCGAGGUCAAGCUAAUCUCUUAAAGCCAUUCUCAGUUCGGACUGUAGGCUGCAACUCGCCUACACGAAGUCGGAAUCGCUAGUAAUCGCGGAUCAGCACGCCGCGGUGAAUACGUUCCCGGGCCUUGUACACACCGCCCGUCACACCAUGAGAGUUUGUAACACCCGAAGCCGGUGGCGUAACCCUUUUAGGGAGCGAG
rnacentral:rRNA from 2 species